GACGAACGCUGGCGGCGUGCCUAAUACAUGCAAGUCGAACGAACCGCGACUAGGUGCUUGCACUUGGUCAAGGUGAGUGGCGAACGGGUGAGUAACACGUGGGUAACCUACCUCAUAGUGGGGGAUAACAGUCGGAAACGACUGCUAAUACCGCAUAGGACAUAGGAUCACAUGAUCCAGUGAGGAAAGGUGGCGCAAGCUAUCGCUAAGAGAUGGACCCGCGUUGCAUUAGCUAGUUGGUAGGGUAAAGGCCUACCAAGGCGAUGAUGCAUAGCCGACCUGAGAGGGUGAUCGGCCACAUUGGAACUGAGACACGGCCCAAACUCCUACGGGAGGCAGCAGUAGGGAAUCUUCCGCAAUGGACGCAAGUCUGACGGAGCAACGCCGCGUGAGUGAAGAAGGUCUUCGGAUCGUAAAGCUCUGUUGUUAGAGAAGAACAGCGCAUAGAGUAACUGUUAUGCGUGUGACGGUAUCUAACCAGAAAGCCACGGCUAACUACGUG
rnacentral:rRNA from 1 species